UACAGAGGUCCCAAGCGUUGUUCGGAUUCAUUGGGCGUAAAGGGUGCGUAGGUGGCGCGCUAAGUCAGGUGUGAAAUUUCGGAGCUUAACUCCGAAACUGCAUUCGAUACUGCCGUGCUUGAGGACUGGAGAGGAGACUGGAAUUUACGGUGUAGCAGUGAAAUGCGUAGAGAUCGUAAGGAAGACCAGUGGCGAAGGCGGGUCUCUGGACAGUUCCUGACACUGAGGCACGAAGGCCAGGGGAGCAAACGGG
rnacentral:rRNA from 1 species